ACGGCAGCACGGGCUUCGGCCUGGUGGCGAGUGGCGAACGGGUGAGUAAUGCAUCGGAACGUACCGUGUAGUGGGGGAUAACGUAGCGAAAGUUACGCUAAUACCGCAUACGCCCUGAGGGGGAAAGUGGGGGACCGCAAGGCCUCACGCUAUAUGAGCGGCCGAUGUCGGAUUAGCUAGUUGGUGGGGUAAAGGCCUACCAAGGCGACGAUCCGUAGCGGGUCUGAGAGGAUGAUCCGCCACACUGGGACUGAGACACGGCCCAGACUCCUACGGGAGGCAGCAGUGGGGAAUUUUGGACAAUGGGCGCAAGCCUGAUCCAGCCAUGCCGCGUGAGUGAAGAAGGCCUUCGGGUUGUAAAGCUCUUUCAGACGGAAAGAAAUCUCUUGGGCGAAUACCCUGGGAGGAUGACGGUACCGUAAGAAGAAGCACCGGCUAACUACGUGCCAGCAGCCGCGGUAAUACGUAGGGUGCGAGCGUUAAUCGGAAUUACUGGGCGUAAAGCGUGCGCAGGCGGUGAUGUAAGACAGAUGUGAAAUCCCCGGGCUCAACCUGGGAACUGCGUUUGUGACUGCAUCACUCGAGUACGGCAGAGGGAGGUGGAAUUCCGCGUGUAGCAGUGAAAUGCGUAGAUAUGCGGAGGAACACCGAUGGCGAAGGCAGCCUCCUGGGCCAGUACUGACGCUCAUGCACGAAAGCGUG
rnacentral:rRNA from 1 species